UUAGCUAAUAAUUUUAGCUUAUGUUGCCUUUCAUAUGAUUGUAUGAGAAUAUAAAUGAUUGGGCAUGGAUUAUUGUUCAUGCUUGAUUUAACCUCUCUUUUAUUUUUACAUCCCAAGUCAAUAUUGUGGCUCAAUGGAGUGAGCCAGUUAUCAAGGGAUAACAAAUUCUAUUAAGUAUGUUGAAAAACAUAUUGUGCAUGUUCCUGAAACUAUUAUAUUUGGCUUAAACCUCC
rnacentral:lncRNA from 1 species